rnacentral:rRNA from 1 species
AUUGAACGCUGGCGGCAGGCCUAACACAUGCAAGUCGAACGAGUGGCGGACGGGUGAGUUAUGUCUGGGAAACUGCCCGAUGGAGGGGGAUAACUACUGGACACGGUAUCUAAUACCGCAUACCAUCGGAUGUGCCCAGAUGGGAUUAGCUAGUAGGUGGGGUAAUGGCUCACCUAGGCGACGAUCCCUCGCUGGUCUGAGAGGAUGACCAGCCACACUGGAACUGAGACACGGUCCAGACUCCUACGGGAGGCAGCAGUGGGGAAUAUUGCACAAUGGGCGCAAGCCUGAUGCAGCCAGGCCGCGUGUAUGAAGAAGGCCUUAGGGUUGUAAAGUACUUUCAGCGAGGAGGCGUUACCCGCAGAAGAAGCACCGGCUAACUCCGUGCCAGCCGCCGCGGUAAUUC